rnacentral:rRNA from 1 species
CCUACGGGAGGCAGCAGUGGGGAAUUUUGGACAAUGGGCGCAAGCCUGAUCCAGCAAUGCCGCGUGCAGGAUGAAGGCCUUCGGGUUGUAAACUGCUUUUGUACGGAACGAAACGGUCUGCCCUAAUACGGUGGGCUAAUGACGGUACCGUAAGAAUAAGCACCGGCUAACUACGUGCCAGCAGCCGCGGUAAUACGUAGGGUGCGAGCGUUAAUCGGAAUUACUGGGCGUAAAGCGUGCGCAGGCGGUUAUAUAAGACAGAUGUGAAAUCCCCGGGCUCAACCUGGGACCUGCAUUUGUGACUGUAUAGCUAGAGUACGGUAGAGGGGGAUGGAAUUCCGCGUGUAGCAGUGAAAUGCGUAGAUAUGCGGAGGAACACCGAUGGCGAAGGCAAUCCCCUGGACCUGUACUGACGCUCAUGCACGAAAGCGUGGGGAGCAAACAGGAUUAGAUACCCUGGUAGUCCACGCCCUAAACGAUGUCAACUGGUUGUUGGGUCUUCACUGACUCAGUAACGAAGCUAACGCGUGAAGUUGACCGCCUGGGGAGUCGGCCGCAAGGUUGAAACUCAAAAGAGUAAGUACGCGNGAGAGAGCGACGACGACGACGAGGAGGAGGAGG